rnacentral:rRNA from 1 species
ACGGUGAGGGAUGAAAGCUGGGGGAGCAAACCGGAUUAGAUACCCGGGUAGUCCCAGCUGUAAACUAUGCAAACUCAGUGAUGCAUUGGCUCGUGGCCAAUGCAGUGCUGCAGGGAAGCCGUUAAGUUUGCCGCCUGGGAAGUACGUACGCAAGUAUGAAACUUAAAGGAAUUGGCGGGGGAGCACCACAAGGGGUGAAGCCUGCGGUUCAAUUGGAGUCAACGCCU